rnacentral:lncRNA from 1 species
CUCGAUCAUGUUCAUGCUGGGCGACAUCAUCUGCGGCAUGACUCUCUACCUGGUAGGUGAGGACUGAGGAGUAGGGCAAGCAGCGAAUAUGGCGAAUCCUAUCUGUUUGCGCGCGCAACGCGAAUCCUCCCUGUCGAUGAAUCAUGUGGAUCAGCGCGCCCAGGCCCACCGGUCCCAAACAAAACGAUUCCCUAGUUCUUUUUUCGCACGGUUAUACGACCGGAUACAGUCACAUCGUAUCUGUCCAGGCGACCAGGCCCCUACACCAUUGAGCUGCGCGCCUACACCAUCACUCGGUUGCCCCAUCCACCCCAGCGAUUUAUAACUUGCCAAAUUUCGAUUCCCAGACUCCAGAUCUAGCCUCAUGUGAGUUCUUUCCCCAAUUUUCUCUGUUGGAUUUUUUCUAGUUGUUACUUAGGCUGCAUGCGUAUCAUUGUUCCACUCAUCUGUGUGUUUGAGAUCUGCUAAUUUAUGUGCAUCUUUGUUUCCUCCCGCAAGAUUGUUUAACAUGUGAACUCCAUGUGCAGGGUUUGUUCUGCUGCUCCUGAAAUCGAUGGCGGCCCGCCUCUCCGACGUCCUCCUCCACGGCGAGCCGCCCAAGCACCGUGAUGCAUUUUCUUCCCCCAUCAGCGCUUCACCAAGUAGCAGCACAUGGAGUUGGAGGCAAGAAGAGGAGGAGCAAGAAGGGGAGGACGCGGGCGACUAGUUCCUCCCCUGAGCUCGAAGGCCGAGGGCCCAGAUCCGCGGUUGUUCUUCCCAAAUCUUGAUGCCAUUUGCUUUCCUGCGAUUCUUCAUGUGUCGCUGUUAGUUUUUGUUGGGUUGCUAAGAAGAAUCAGGAGGAGCCGUCCUCUGCUCCUUCUCAAAAUUUCCCUCCCAGAUCUGUAUUCUUGGGCAUCGGUUUUUUAUCUUUUGCUUGACCAUCAAUCGCACGUACUUAUUACUUAAGAUUUUUUGUGCUGCUGUGUUGGAUUUGGGGGUGAGGCUUUUUUUUCUGGUGCGGUCAGCACUGAUGGUGUAUGAAUUACGAUGUGGUAUGUGUGCUGCCUUGCUAAUCUCCUCAAAUUCUGGAUCUCAUGUCUCUACAACAUUUUAGAAAAAUGCAUUUAAUUUUAUGACCAGCCUGACAUGGAUUGAGUGUACUCGUAUCAUGCAUAUACCAUAUGUGAUGUAGUGUUUAGUGAUGACAAUAUCACAAUAAGUGUGAGACAGAACCAAAGGUCGG